rnacentral:rRNA from 1 species
CCUUUGACGUUAGCGGCGGACGGGUGAGUAACACGUGGGUAACCUACCUAUAAGACUGGGAUAACUUCGGGAAACCGGAGCUAAUACCGGGUAAUAUUUCGAACCGCAUGGUUCGAUAGUGAAAGGUGGUUUUGCUAUCACUUAUAGAUGGACCCGCGCCGUAUUAGCUAGUUGGUAAGGUAACGGCUUACCAAGGCGACGAUACGUAGCCGACCUGAGAGGGUGAUCGGCCACACUGGAACUGAGACACGGUCCAGACUCCUACGGGAGGCAGCAGAU